GAAUGCUGACAUAAGUAACGAUAAAGCGGGUGAAAAGCCCGCUCGCCGGAAGACCAAGGGUUCCUGUCCAACGUUAAUCGGGGCAGGGUGAGUCGACCCCUAAGGCGAGGCCGAAAGGCGUAGUCGAUGGGAAACGGGUUAAUAUUCCCGUACUUGGUGUUACUGCGAAGGGGGGACGGAGAAGGCUAUGUUGGCCGGGCGACGGUUGUCCCGGUUUAAGCGUGUAGGUGUGUGUUCCAGGUAAAUCCGGUUCACUUUAACACUGAGGCGUGAUGACGAGGCACUACGGUGCUGAAGCAACAAAUGCCCUGCUUCCAGGAAAAGCCUCUAAGCAUCAGGUAACAUCAAAUCGUACCCCAAACCGACACAGGUGGUCAGGUAGAGAAUACCAAGGCGCUUGAGAGAACUCGGGUGAAGGAACUAGGCAAAAUGGUGCCGUAACUUCGGGAGAAGGCACGCUGACAUGUAGGUGAAGUGAUUUACUCA
rnacentral:rRNA from 3 species